CACGGGGAGGAGUCAGAGGUACGUUAGGUUGUUAGGUGGGGGGGGGAGGCGGGUGAAGGAGGCGGGUGGAGACUAACCUGCGUGUUGGCCUGCUGCUGUUGCUGCUGACUGAUGAGAGUCUGCAGAGCCUCCACAGUGUCCCCACACAGCAUCACCUCAGAGGAAAGCUGCUUCUGCAGGCCGUCCAUCCACGCAGACAGCUAACACAGACACAUGUUACACACUUACAAUGUCACUUUAACAGUGCUACAGUGUUAGUAUAGGGUGACCAUAUGUCCGGUUUUACCUGGACAUGUACUCUUUUCAUGUACUGUCCGGCUGGAUUUUACAAACUCAUCAAAAUGUCUGGGUUUCCCAGGGACCUAGGGGAACACGUUAAUUUAAAUGGCCUUAACUCCACUAAUAUUUGCUCUAUUUGAGAAAUUCCACCAGUCUCUGAAUGCUAAUGAGUUGCCCUUACAGCCAGCAUGGUGUCAUUACGGUACUUUUACUUACACGUGAUGGAAUCAUUAAAGAUGCCGCUUGUUUUGAUGAAAUCGUCACACACAAGGAAAAGACUAAAGUCCAAGAUAGAUUGAAAGAGACCAAAUACUAGUGGAUUUAAUUUAAAAAUGUGUCCUUUUCUCUUUUUUGGAAAUCAAAAUGUUACUGUGUGUGCGUGCGUGUGUGUGUGUGCGUGUACCUCCUUGGUGUGUGUGUAGAAGGACACAGCAAGGUCCAGCAGCAUCUUUCUUUGUUCUACUUUCUGGAUGAAGGCCUGCAUUGAAACACCUCAGUAAGCUAAUAGCACAGCAGGUGUUAGUGGGUACCAGCUGUUGCCCUGGCGACCGCCUCUGCUCACCUGCAUCCUGAGCUCCAAGUCUCGGGCUGCUUCGUAGAUCUCGUCUUCUUCGCACUCUCCAGACUGAGCCAGUUGAUCGGCCGCCUCCAGGAGCUUAGCAGCGUUUGUAACAACCUACUUCAGUCUUACCUGAGCGACCUGCUGGAAGUCGUCGUGUCGUUUCUGCAGGGCUCGAGCCCUAUGCAGAGACUUCCCAACACCGCCAUGCUUGUUCAGAAACACCUCACCGUGCUGCUCCACCCAGUCCAGAACCUGGAACACACACACAGUGGUUCGAAGACUAUAUCCCAGUCAAGCUUCUAAAGCGUCUCUGGAGCUGAUUCAGAGUCUGCAGCUGUUUAAUGUGAGUCUGGAUCUGAAAAUGUUCAUGUUCAUUUUGACGGCAAAUUUUGAUUUUGUUUUUCUCAUAGUCUUUUGACUAAAAUGUUAGUUUUAGUCCAAGUUUAGCCAUCAGAACUAUUUCAGUUAUAUAUUCUAGAUUGAAUGUACAAUUAGUUUAAAC
rnacentral:lncRNA from 1 species